GAAUGCAUAGAUUCCCAAAUUCACUUGCAAGAAGUAAUAUCCAAAGAAUUUGGUGUCUCUGUUCCAGAAAAAAGUCUAGUACGUACUGCGAUGAGAAAAGUUGGUUGGCCGUGCGAUUCGACGGAUUAUGAUGACUUUGAGUUGAAACAACUUGAAAAAGAGAGAAUAAAGCUAACUCGUGAAGCUACAAAACGAUUGAUCAAUGUUGUAUUAACCGGAAGGGAUGAAGAUUUUCACAAAGAUGAUAAACGGAUGUGUCGUUUGAAG